CUGUCUAUAAGCCAUCCUCUGCUUGUAGGCCUGGCAUCUCUCAACUCCCAUUCCCAGCUGGCCAAUUUCCUUUACCGUCUUUGCUUUCUUUGUACUGUAACUGGACUGGAUCAUGUCCAGCCCAGUUUUACCUCCCCUCCUCCCCUUCUCCCCAGUGCUAACACAUCUCUUUUCUCUGCUGUAGCAGUUAGUCUGUAAUGAAGGUUAAUGAUUGAAUGCUGACUGAGGCAAAGUACUGUCUUCCUUCUCUUGUGACCCUCUUUUUGAAGACGAGAUUUUACAUUCAAGGGAUUCCAUGGGGGAAUUCUCCAUGAAAACAUUCUGUCUGGUUGUGCAAACAUUCCACACAGCUGGAUGACAGGAACAUGUGGGCGGGAGGAGUCUGUGUUUCCAAGACCCUUAUUUUUCUUCUCUCUUCCUUUCUCUCUCGCUCUCCCUCUUUUGGCAGUCAUACCACCUCUGAGUUUGGAGUUUAAAACAUUAUAAUAAAACACUGAAGAACUAUGGACCCACAUACAAGGCUUCCUUGCCCACAGUAAUCUCUGGAAACCAGCAGCUUGGAAACUCUCUUACUUUCAUUCAUUCAUUCAUUCAUUCAUUCAUUCAUUCAUUCAUUCAUUCAUUCAUUCAUUCAUUCAUUCAUUCAUUCACUCAUUCAUUCAUUCAGCCACAGACGCCACCUGGGUUUCCAUGGUAAACGCUGGGUCCAGAUGUACCCCCAAGCUGCGGACCUCACUCUUUGCGGCAAGGGUCGUCACCCCAAAAGAAAGGGAGUUACCUAUACCGUUGAUGGAAGGACCGCCCACCCUCAAGACCUCCGUCUUGUCCGGGUUCAGCCUUAACCCAUUCAACUGCAUCCAUUCCAAUACAGUCUCCAGGCAGCGCUGAAGGGAUAGGACGGCAUGCACUUCGGUAGAUGAGAAGGAGAUGUAGAGCUGUGUGUCAUCAGCAUACUGGUGACACGAUGCCCCACACCCCCUGAUGACCCCACCCAGCGGCCUCAUAUAGAUGUUAAACAGCAUUGGAGAGAUGAUCAACCCCUGUGGAACCCCACAGUUGAGACUCCAGGGGGCCGAGACACUCUCCCCAAUCUGAACUCUCUGGGGACGGUCCUCCAAGAAGGGACGGAGCCAGGCAAGGGCCUGGCCACCAAUUACCAACUCAGAGAGCCUCCCCAGGAGGAUACCAUGGGCAACGGUAUCAAAGACCGCCGAGAUGUCGAGGAGGACCAACAAGGACAUAUUGCCCCCAUCGACCUCCCUCAACAGGUCAUCCAUCAGUGCGACCAGUGCCGUCUCUACCGUAGCACAGCCUGAAGCCCAACUGGAAUGGGUCCAGGGCGUUUGUUUCAUCCAAGAGCGCCUGA
rnacentral:lncRNA from 1 species